rnacentral:rRNA from 1 species
AUACGGAGGAUGCGAGCGUUAUCCGGAUUUAUUGGGUUUAAAGGGAGCGUAGGCGGCCAUUUAAGUCAGCGGUUAAAUCGUGGGGCUCAACCCCAUUCUGCCGUUGAUACUGGGUGGCUUGAUUGCGGUCGAGGUUGGCGGAAUUCGUUGUGUAGCGGUGAAAUGCAUAGAUAUGACGAAGAACACCGAUUGCGUAGGCAGCUGACCAGACCGCAAAUGACGCUCAUGCACGAAAGUGCGGGGAUCGAACAGGAUUAGAUACCCUGGUAGUCCGCACAGUAAACGAUGAAUACUUGUUUUCGGCGAUAUAAUGUCGGAGGCAAAGCGAAAGCGAUAAGUAUUCCACCUGGGGAGUACGCCGGCAACGGUGAAACUCAAAGGAAUUGACGGGG